rnacentral:misc_RNA from 1 species
AAAAUGAUUAGCCAAUUUAAUGUUGCAACUCAUCCGGUUAUUUAUUGCCCUUUUACUUCAUAUUUGUUCAAUAUGGGAUUUCCAACAAGUCUCUCACCGAUGUUGUUUGAAUUAUUGUUUCAACAUUUUCUUAUGGAUUUGUCUUACAUAUUGCUUAUUGAUUUUUGCUUCUAAUUGCUUGUACUAUUGCAUUUUCGAUUGAUUGACUUGGAUUUUUUUUGGGUAUGCA